GAAAAAUAACUCAAGUCGGUAGAGCGUAAGACUCUUCAUUUAAGGGUUGUGGGUUUGAGCCCCACAUUGAGCA